rnacentral:rRNA from 1 species
UUGACCUCAAAUCAGGUAGGACUACCCGCUGAACUUAAGCAUAUCAAUAAGCGGAGGAAAAGAAACUAACAAGGAUUCCCUUAGUAACUGCGAGUGAAGAGGGAAAAGCUCAAAUUUAAAAUCUGGCGGUGUUUCACUGUCCGAGU